AUGUCCAAGGGCAGCAGCGGCCAAUACGACGAGGUGGUGGCUCUCCGGCGUGUGCUCCGCCUUGCUCCUGCGUCUCCUCCCCGGGCUCGACCUCCCGCCGUGCGUCCCCACCCGCAGCACCAAGCUUCCCAAUGGCGUCUGCGUCGCCUCCGAGGAUGCCCCGAUUUGACAGGGAGCAGAACAUGGAUCUCAAUUUUUGGCAGCUCUGUUCUAAUGAAGCCAGCAUGGUUAGUGAGGAUGCUGGGCAAGAAAAUAGAAGAAAUGUGGACCUCAAGACUGAAGAAAAGCAGGCCUCCUUGGUGGCUCUGUGCUCAGAAAAGCAGAUUCGCAAAACUCCGAUUUUUCGACAGCAACUCAUCCGCCUCAGUCUCGUCUUUCGUUGACGGCAGAGCACCACGUAGCAGUGUUCGGGAGCGCAUCUUUGCAAAAAUCUAUACAAGUAUUAGAACUGGUUAUGGAGAUGGGAAUUAG
rnacentral:rRNA from 1 species